GACGAACGCUGGCGGCGUGCUUAACACAUGCAAGUCGAACGGAAAGGCCCUGCUUUUGUGGGGUGCUCGAGUGGCGAACGGGUGAGUAACACGUGAGUAACCUGCCCUUGACUUUGGGAUAACUUCAGGAAACUGGGGCUAAUACCGGAUAGGAGCUCCUGCUGCAUGGUGGGGGUUGGAAAGUUUCGGCGGUUGGGGAUGGACUCGCGGCUUAUCAGCUUGUUGGUGGGGUAGUGGCUUACCAAGGCUUUGACGGGUAGCCGGCCUGAGAGGGUGACCGGCCACAUUGGGACUGAGAUACGGCCCAGACUCCUACGGGAGGCAGCAGUGGGGAAUAUUGCAUAAUGGGCGGAAGCCUGAUGCAGCAACGCCGCGUGCGGGAUGACGGCCUUCGGGCUGUAAACCGCUUUCGCCUGUGACGAAGCGUGAGUGACGGUAAUGGGUAAAGAAGCACCGGCUAACUACGUG
rnacentral:rRNA from 1 species